AAGCAAAGCUUUCAAAAGGCCCUUCAAAAAAACCUUUCUGAGAUGAUAAGUGAAUUCAUCUCAGAAAGUUUUUUUGAAGGGCCUUUUGAAAUUAG